UACGAAGGGGGCUAGCGUUGUUCGGAAUUACUGGGCGUAAAGCGCGCGCAGGCGGCUCGAUAAAUUAGAAGUGAAAGCCCCGGGCUUAACCUGGGAAUUGCUUUUAAGACUGUCGGGCUAGAAUCCAGAAGAGGGUAGUGGAAUUCCGAGUGUAGAGGUGAAAUUCGUAGAUAUUCGGAAGAACACCAGUGGCGAAGGCGACUACCUGGUCUGGCAUUGACGCUCAUGUGCGAAAGCGUGGGGAGCAAACAGG
rnacentral:rRNA from 1 species